GGUCAUGAGCGCCAGCGUCAAGCCCCGGCUUGCUGGCCGGCAACCCUCCAACCGCGGUGGGGUGCCCCGGGUGAUGACCAGGUUGAGUGGCCGGAACGGCUACGCGGCAAGCGCGGGUC
rfam:Mycobacterium sp. 1274756.6 contig_33, whole genome shotgun sequence.